GGAAGCCAAGGCAUGAGCAAACUGCUAUGGCAAUUUAAAAAUCAGAAUAAACUAACCCAGCUCUGCCUACAGUAAAAAUCAACCCAAUCAAACAUUAAUAUUCUUUUGCACAAAAUAAGAUACUCCAUAGAAUAAAAAUAAACCCAAUCAAACACAGCCUUCAUUUAGAAAAAGAAAGCAAAUCAAAUGCUACUGAAAGUGAAAACAAAUAGCAUCCUUGGAGCGUUCAAUUUCCUCCUAAUUCAACCCAUCGUGUGUCCAUGAUAACCCUAUAAAUAAAUGGAUUUCCUGUAAACUAUAUAUGUGGCAUUGACAAGAAUUAUAAGCUUAUAAAUUAUAAGAGUAUUAAUGAAAAGUUCAAAUAAAUCUUAUCGAAUCCUAAUGGAAACUUUUUAGAACCAACUCAAUACCAAACCAUCACACCGUUUUAAUGCAUCAAUCACAGUUCUAACCCUCUCAAAAUAGUUGUCGAGUAAUUCACAUAGCAGAACCGAUUUGAAUUCUUAAGAAGAGGAACUCAUUUGUUCAUUGUCAGAGAAAUCCAAUAGCAAAACCAAGAAAAAUACCGAACACGGAUAAUUAGUGCAAGAAACUAUGAGUUAAUUACAAACCAUAACGAGAAACAGUACCUCAGUUUGGUCCGAUAAGAUGACAUAGAUAGCAUGUAAAACUGAAUUUACAAUAACCGAUUCUUCAUUGUUGAACACCUUAAAACCCCUUUAUUGCUGCAUAUUCUUCAAUAUAUACAAUGGAAAAAAGAAAAUCUCUGAUGCGGCGGAUCUAAAAUGAGCUAACAACCUGAAUCUUCGAACUGGUAACGGAACCUCGAACUAUUUAAAUUGAAUGAGUUGGACGAACAAUUUCGAGCUGAUUUUCACACUGAUUUGGUGUAGUUUCAGGGAAUUUUUGGAGCUGGGUUUACUACUGAGUUGGAGCUCCGUUUCGCUGGACUAACUGGGGGGUCGUUGGAUUAACUUUCCCGUCAGAUUGAAGGUGAAGGCUGGAUGCGCCGUUGGUCUAUGCGGCUGUGUAUCUGUGUGUAUGUCUAUUAAGAGAUGAAGGAGGAUUUAGAGCCCUUUUUUGAAGGUCCUGCGGCUGAAGCUUUAAGCCAAAGAAAGAGCAGCCAUGCUUUUUGAACUAGGUUCCUUUUUUGUGUGCUAUCGUGUAUUAUGCUGAAGAUGAUGGGAGGGGUCCUUUUUUGGGUGUUCAACGGCGGAUCCUUGGUCUAUGGUGGUCAUUAUUUUUUGCUGAAGGAGAUGAACGGCGGGGGAGUGGGGUCUUUUGAUUAGGUUAGGUGUUGCUCUUUUCACAUUUUUUUGUUAGGUAGUCUAGGUCUUAGAGUCUAUCUUGUGUAUUUUCGGCUGAUUAUAG
rnacentral:lncRNA from 1 species